CUCAAACUGGGGGUCAGGACCCUUCAGGGGGUUGCGAGAUUAUUACACGGGGAGUCGCGAUCUGUCAGCCUGCACCCCAAACCCCGCUUUGCCUUCAGCAUUUAUAAUGGUGUUAAAUUUGAAAACAAGUGUUUUGAAUUUACAAGGGGGCGGGGGAGGGGGGUGCACUCA